GCGCCUGUAGCUCAAUGGAUAGAGCGCCACGCUUCGGACGUGGAGGUUGCGGGUUCGAAUCCUGCCGGGCGCG
rnacentral:tRNA from 2 species